rnacentral:rRNA from 1 species
CAGUCGCCACGGUAAUACAGAGGAUGCAAGCGUUAUCCGGAAUGAUUGGGCGUAAAGGGCACGCAGGCGGUGACUUAAGUGAGGUGUGAGAGCCCCCGGCUCAACCGGGGAGGGUCGUUGGAGACUGGGAAACUUGAGUGCAGAAGAGGAGAGUGGAAUUCCACGUGUAGCGGUGAAAUGCGUAGAGAUGUGGAGGAACACCAGUGGCGAAGGCGACUCUCUGGUCUGUAACUGACGCUGAGGAGCGAAAGCGUGGGGAGCGAACAGGAUUAGAUACCCCAGUAGUCCCUGUCUCUUAUAC